rnacentral:rRNA from 1 species
UACGUAGGGUGCAAGCGUUGUCCGGAAUUAUUGGGCGUAAAGAGCUCGUAGGCGGUUUGUCGCGUCUGCUGUGAAAACCCCGAGGCUCAACCUCGGGCCUGCAGUGGGUACGGGCAGACUAGAGUGCGGUAGGGGGAGAUUGGAAUUCCUGGUGUAGCGGUGGAAUGCGCAGAUAUCAGGAGGAACACCAAUGGCGAAGGCAGAUCUCUGGGCCGUAACUGACGCUGAGGAGCGAAAGCAUGGGGGAGCGAACAGG